CCGGUUGAUCCUGCCAGAGGUUACUGCUAUCGAGGUUCGACUAAGCCAUGCGAGUCGAAUGUAGCAAUACAUGGCGUACUGCUCAGUAACACGUGGAUAACCUGCCCUUAGAACGGGGAUAAACCCGGGAAACUGGGUAUAAUACCCGAUAGAUCUCGAUUGCUGGAAUGCAUCGAGCUUUAAAGCUCCGGCGUCUAAGGAUGGAUCUGCGGCCUAUCAGGUAGUAGUGGGUGUAGCGUACCUACUAGCCUACGACGGGUACGGGUUGUGAGAGCAAGAGCCCGGAGAUGGAUUCUGAGACACGAAUCCAGGCCCUACGGGGUGCAGCAGGCGCGAAAACUUUACAAUGCCGGCAACGGCGAUAAGGGGACCUCGAGUGCCAGGUUACAAAUCUGGCUGUCGUGAUGCCUAAAAAGCAUUGCAUAGCAAGGGCCGGGCAAGACCGGUGCCAGCCGCCGCGGUAACACCGGCGGCUCGAGUGGUAACCGUUAUUAUUGGGUCUAAAGGGUCUGUAGCCGGCCGGAUAAGUCUCUUGGGAAAUCUGGCAGCUUAACUGUCAGGCUUUCAGGAGAUACUGUCUGGCUCGAGGCCGGGAGAGGUGAGAGGUACUUCAGGGGUAGGGGUGAAAUCUCGUAAUCCUUGGGGGACCACCGAUGGCGAAGGCAUCCCACCAGAACGGGUCCGACGGUGAGGGACGAAAGCUGGGGGCACGAACCGGAUUAGAUACCCGGGUAGUCCCAGCUGUAGACGAUGCUCGCUAGGUGUCAGGUGCGGUGCGACCGCAUCUGGUGCCGUAGUGAAAACUUGAAGCGAGUCACCUGGGAAGUACGGUCGCAAGGCUGAAACUUAAAGGAAUUGGCGGGGGAGCACUACAACGGGUGGAGCCUGCGGUUCAAUUGGAUUCAACGCCGGG
rnacentral:rRNA from 1 species